rnacentral:rRNA from 1 species
UACGUAGGGGGCAAGCGUUGUCCGGAUUUACUGGGCGUACAGGGCGCGUAGGCGGUUGGAUAAGCCCUCCGUGAAAUCUCCAGGCUUAACCUGGAAAGUGCAGAGGGGACUGUUCAGCUAGAGGAUGGGAGAGGAGCGCGGAAUUCCCGGUGUAGCGGUAAAAUGCGUAGAGAUCGGGAGGAAGGCCGGUGGCGAAGGCGGCGCUCUGGAACAUUUCUGACGCUGAGGCUCGAAAGCGUGGGGAGCAAACAGG